UACGUAGGGUGCGAGCGUUAAUCGGAAUUACUGGGCGUAAAGCGUGCGCAGGCGGUUCGUUAAGUCAGCUGUGAAAGCCCCGGGCUCAACCUGGGAAUUGCGGUUGAAACUGGCGAACUAGAAUCUGGCAGAGGGGGGUGGAAUUCCACGUGUAGCAGUGAAAUGCGUAGAGAUCGGGAAGAACACCCGUGGCGAAGGCGACGUGCUGGGCUGCAACUGACGCUGAGAUGCGAAAGUGUGGGGAGCAAACGGG
rnacentral:rRNA from 1 species